rnacentral:rRNA from 1 species
CUUUCAGCUUUAAUUAAACAUACACAUGCAAGUCUCCCGCUCCAGUGAAAUGCCCUUUAUCUUCCUCUAUCAGAAGAAAAGGAGUUGGUAUCAGGCUCAAAUAGCCCAAAACACCUAGCUCAGCCACACCUCCAAAGGACUUCAGCAGUGAUUAACAUUAAAUAUUAGCGCAAGCUAAAUUUAGUUAUAAUUUUUAUGGUCGGUUAAUUUCGUGCCAGCCACCGCGGUUAUACGAAAGACUUAAACUGAUAGCCACCGGCGUAAAGCGUGAUUAGGGGUAAAUGUUCUCUAAAGCUAAACUCUGAUUUAAUUGUUAUAAGUUUUUAUCAGUGGGAAACUCAAUAACGAAAGUAGCUUUAUUAUACCUGACUUCACGGUAGCCAAGACCCAAACUGGGAUUAGAUACCCCACUAUGCUUGGCCCUAAACUUUGAUAAUUACUAUUCAU